GUCUCUCAGAUCUCCCUCUCCUGUCUCUUAUAAGGACUCCGAUCAUUUUGUUUUUUAGCCUAAUUACAUUGCAAAAACCCUGUUCUAAAUAAGGUCACAUUCACAGGUACCAGGGGUUGGGCUUGGGCGUAUCUUUUGGGGGGAUACCAUGCAGUCCACUACGUCACACUGGAUGAGGACAGGCCCUAAAUUCAGCGACUGUGUCCUUAUAAGUCACGUGAAGAUACAGAGGCAAAAGUAGACACUGGAAGGACGCAGCUCCCAGCCAAGGAGGACCGAGGCCUGCUGGCCGCCAGCAGAAACCGGGUGGCCAGGAAAGGCCCCUGCCUGCGGCCUUCAGAGGCAGCUCGGCCCCACCAGCGCCUUGAUCCUGGACUUCUGGCCUCGGACUCUGAGGUAAUCAGCUUCUGCUGUUUCAAGCCCCCGGCUGUGCCAGUUUGCGGAGCAGGCCCAUGACACGCCGCGCCCCCGGCUCCACGUCUGACACAUUCCCGCUGCAUCAAAGCCCCACAACAGCCUUGAUGUUCUGCAUUUUUCCUGCCCUUUGUCUGUAUCUUGGAUUUACCAUGAAAUGCAACCACUAGGAUCGUGUGUGCUCAUUCCCAAGGAAUGAAACAGCCGGAGGGACCCAGGAACCACUGGGCUGUUACUCCAGCAGAUGAAUGGCCUCCCCAGCAUGGCGGAUGCGCUCUGACAAGCCGCUUUCCUCCUGGUCUUUGGUCCUCCGGUCAUUUUUCAAUAGGUGGCCAAAGAUUUCAGGCAGCGUGUGCGUCUUGGGUCAGAAAUAAAGGAGAGUGCCCAAGGCGGGCUUGCGGGCCUCUUCAGUGGCACGUGCCCUGAGCAAAGGGUACUGCCAGUGCCUGGCACCGCACUCUGGGGUGAGAGUCACCACUUUGCCAUGAAAAUGACAAACAGUAGCUGGUCGGGCUCUGCCUUUAGAAAUUGAGGCCUCCUGGCAACUGGGCAAAAUCCUACUAAAGAACUGUGGAGACUCCCGGGGAGCCAGUGGACUGGGGGGAGAUGGGGACCUUAGGAACCGGAGCUGUUUGUUCUAGUUUACUGUGGGGCCAGGGUGGCGUCUCAGGGACAGUGCGUCGGCCACACUCUGGUCUCCUCCUCACUUUCAGUUCCCUUGGUGUAAAUGUGGAAAUGCACCGUGGAGCCAUUUCAUCUGGGACUAAAGGAACAUGUGGGCUUCCUGUGAGAUCACAGCACAUCCAACCUCUUGUGUGUGCGCUACUCUGCCUGUGUCACCCCUUCCUUCCUUGACCUCUGGAGAGCCGAGUGCCCUAUGGCUUCUUUUUUUCUCCAUAUUGUCCUGGUCAUGCUCAGGCCUUCGCAUUUCCAUUCAGAUUUCAGGGUCAGCCUGUCAGCUUGCACAGACAUGAAUAUAUGUGCCCGCAGAAAGCCCACUGGGGUCUUUGUUUUCUAUUUGUUUUUAUUGAUGAUAAAUAGAAAAACAACUGAUUUUUGUACAUUGAUCUUAUAUCCAGCAACCUAGCUAAACUUACCUGCUGUUUCAAAAUGAUUAUUAGUAAAUUCCUCUGGGUUUUCUACAUUAUGUUGUGUCUGAAUAAUCAUAGUUUAGUUUCUCCUUUCCUGAACAUUAUGCGUUUUUCCCCCUUUUUCUGCCUUUUCGCACUGGCUAUGCCCUCCUGUGCCAUGUUAAAUGGAUGCAGUGAGAGAAGCCUGACAGCUUCACCUAUUUCUCACCCCUUCCCCUCACCAAGAAGCUUAUGAAGGAUUCUGGGAAGAUGGCAGGGGCACCAUAGUUUUUGGCUAUUGAAAAAUCCCCACUUAAAAACAGAUACAAUGACUUAGAAAAUAAAAAUCCCAAGGGACUCUCAUGAGGGUACAGAGGAGUUACCCAGAGGCCACAGGACAUGGUACAUGCCAACAGGUUAAAUGCACAAGCAGGUAGAAUAAUCUGCCCUCUAUUCAGCCAGACAUUAAGACAUUUGCGAAAACACAGAACAAUGCCAGUCUUCUCACUAAAUGUGUUACUUUUUGUUAAAAAGAAAUAUAGUUACUUUUCAUUAAAAAAUAGGUUGUUUAUGUUAACACACCAUAGGAUUAUCAUUGCUAUCUUAAAUGAAUUAAUCAAUACAUCUUUAAAAUAAAAGAUAUCCAUGGACACCACCACCAACAAAACCAGGACCUGAGGUGUUCCCACACAGCCCGACCUUGCAGUGGGUGGGGUCAAGCCACUGCCAGGCACAAAUCUGGGGGUGCUGGGUGCAUGUGGGGAGUAACGGGCCUGAGCGCAGGGGCCCUGGAGCACGCAGGCACGGCUGGACAGCACGGCAGCAGGCCAGUCUGUGACCAGCGGGUGAAGCUGAUGAAGGUGUUAGGCAAGAAAAUAGGUAGGAGCAGGGUGGGAAGAGAAUAAGGCCAGUUAAGCCCACUAGAAGGGACUCAAAAAGUUAACCAGUUAAAACUAGAAACCCAGAAAAGACUCAGAGUUAAUGGGUUAAUCAGUUGAUGCUCAAAAGGCCAGGAGCAACUUGGCCUGGAAUGUUUGAAUAUUCCCCAGAUACAGAAAAGUAUCUGAGCACAGCCCAUGUCUUCGUUGUGUCAAUUAAGUCACGCCAUUGUAAGAUUUACUUUAGCCUGCCUGCUAAAAGGCCCAGCUACAAACAGCACAAUAAAAGACAGGAAGAUUCCACCUUAAAGCUAAUAUUGCAGUUAAAAACCCAAGAGGUUAAGAGGUAACUUAACAUACUCUUUAGCAAACAGACAAUAACUCAGCCCACCUUGGGGGCAGGGCAGGCAGUCCUGAUUGAUAUGCUCCCAGACCAGGAAGCUGCUAUCCUGGGAUGGGACCAGAACAGCACAUUUCUUAUGUUAAUUUUGCAGAACUACCUGGAAGACUGAUAAGAAAAGACUUAAUGUCUCAUCAGAGAUAAACAUCUUGAGACCACUUAACACAUGCACACCCCUACCCCUUUGUCACAUUCCUGAAAAAAAAAAAAAAACCCUUAAAAUGGGGAACCCCCAACCUUUCAGUACGCACCUCUCUCUGAGGUCACCUGCACUGCCUAAGUGUGCAACUUUAACUUUUCCCCAACCUUUCAGUGUGCUGCUCCCUGAAGUAGCCCACACUCCCCUUUCUCUGAGUGUACACUUUCUCUCUUUAAAUAAAACUCAAGCCUUUCAAGGCACCUCUCCUCUCUGAGGUUGCCUGCACAUUUUCUCUCUUUAAGUAAGUAAUUUUAAAUAAAACUUUUAUGCUGCUUCACUA